rnacentral:rRNA from 1 species
GACGAACGCUGGCGGCGUGCUUAACACAUGCAAGUCGAACGGAGUGGCGAACGGGUGAGUAACACGUGGGUGAUCUGCCUUUCACGUCGGGAUAAGCUUGGAAAACGGAGUCAAAACCCGGAUAGUGUAAGAUGAGCUCGCGGCCUAUCAGCUUGUUGGUGGGGUAAUGGCCGACCAAGGCGUCGACUGGUAGCCGGCCUGCGAGGGUGUACGGGCACAAUGGGACUGAGAUACGGACCAGACUCCUACGGGAGGCAGCAGUGGGGAAUAUUGCACAAUCGGCGGAAGCCUGAUGCAGCGACGCCGCGGGGGGGAUGAAGGCUUUCGGGUUGUAAACUCCUUUCGAUAGGGACGCGGUACCUGCAUAAGAAGCACCGGCUAACUACGUGCCAGCAGCCGCGGUAAUAC